UACGGGGGGAGCAAGCGUUGUUCGGAUUUACUGGGCGUAAAGGGCGCGUAGGCGGCCACUGCAAGUCAGUUGUGAAAUCUCCGGGCUUAACCCGGAAAGGUCAACUGAUACUGCAGGGCUAGAGUGCAGAAGGGGCAACUGGAAUUCUCGGUGUAGCGGUGAAAAUGCGUAGAUAUCGAGAGGAACACCUGCGGCGAAGGCGGCCGGCUGGGGGGUGACCUGACGCUGAGGCGCGAAAGCGUGGGGGAGCGAACCGG
rnacentral:rRNA from 1 species